AGGGGCCGCGGGGCCACGGCUGAGGAACGCGGGCCGCCCACCAGCUCCUGGCGCCACGGAGUCCGCGCCGGGUUUUGGCGCCUCCCGCGGACGCCCCCCUCCUCUCGGCGAGCGCCUCCACGUCAUGGCCGCGGGGCGCAGCGAGCGCCCUGAUUCUUCCGCUUGGACGCUCAGGACGGCGGUCCGCUGCCCACCAGACUCGGUCCCAGAACCCCAGUCUCAGCAGGAGGACAUUUUGGGACGGGACUUGGGUGACUCUAGGGCACUGGUUUUCUUUCCAGAGACCGGAACGGGCGAGCAAAAGUAGUCCCUUCUCGGCGGUUCUGCGGAGGAAUUUCUUGGGGGCGGUGAACGCCGAUGACUAUAUAAGGACGCGCCGGGUGUGGCGCAGCUAGUUCCGUCGCAGCCGGGAGUGGGAUCGCGGUUCUUGUUCGUGUGUCGGUGUCAUCGCCACUUGACAAUGCAGAUCUUCGUGAAGACCCUCACUGGCAAGACCAUCACCCUUGAGGUUGAGCCCAGUGACACCAUCGAGAAUGUCAAGGCAAAGAUCCAAGAUAAGGAAGGCAUUCCUCCCGACCAGCAGAGGCUGAUCUUUGCCGGAAAGCAGCUGGAAGAUGGGCGCACCCUGUCUGACUA